CACGUAGGGGGGCAAGCGUUGUCCGGAUUUAUUGGGCGUAAAGAGCGUGUAGGCGGCCAGGUAGGUCUGGUGUGAAAACUCGAGGCUUAACCUCGAGAUGUCAUCGGAAACCAUCUGGCUAGAGUCCGGAAGAGGAGAGUGGAAUUCCUGGUGUAGCGGUGAAAUGCGCAGAUAUCAGGAAGAACACCAAUGGCGAAAGCAGCUCUCUGGGACGGUACUGACGCUGAGACGCGAAAGCGUGGGGAGCGAACAGG
rnacentral:rRNA from 1 species